ACGGAAGGCAGCAGUGAGGAAUAUUGGUCAAUGGGCGGAAGCCUGAACCAGCCAAGUCGCGUGAAGGAUGAAGGUAUUAUGUAUUGUAAACUUCUUUAGUCGUAGAGAAAUAAGGUGCUCGAGAGCACUGAUGCUAGUAUACGAAGAAUAAGGAUCGGCUAACUCCGUGCCAGCAGCCGCGGUAAUACGGAGGAUCCGAGCGUUAUCCGGAUUUAUUGGGUUUAAAGGGUGCGCAGGCGGCUUUUUAAGUCAGUGGUCAAAUCGUGGGGCUCAACCCCAUCCCGCCAUUGAUACUGGAGAGCUUGAUUGCGGUCGAGGUUGGCGGAAUUCGUCGUGUAGCGGUGAAAUGCAUAGAUAUGACGAAGAACACCGAUUGCGUAGGCAGCUGACCAGGCCGUAAAUGACGCUCAUGCACGAAAGUGCGGGGAUCGAACAGGAUUAGAUACCCUGGUA
rnacentral:rRNA from 1 species